AGUGAACGCUGGCGGUAGGCCUAACACAUGCAAGUCGAACGGCAGCACAGUAAGAGCUUGCUCUUACGGGUGGCGAGUGGCGGACGGGUGAGGAAUACAUCGGAAUCUACUUUUUCGUGGGGGAUAACGUAGGGAAACUUACGCUAAUACCGCAUACGACAUACGGGUGAAAGCAGGGGAUCUUCGGACCUUGCGCGAUUGAAUGAGCCGAUGUCGGAUCAGCUAGUUGGCGGGGUAAAGGCCCACCAAGGCGACGAUCCGUAGCUGGUCUGAGAGGAUGAUCAGCCACACUGGAACUGAGACACGGUCCAGACUCCUACGGGAGGCAGCAGUGGGGAAUAUUGGACAAUGGGCGCAAGCCUGAUCCAGCCAUACCGCGUGGGUGAAGAAGGCCUUCGGGUUUUAAAGCCCUUUUGUUGGGAAAGAAAAGCAGCAGGUUAAUACCCCGCUGUUCUGACGGUACCCAAAGAAUAAGCACCGGCUAACUUCGUG
rnacentral:rRNA from 1 species